AAAAUAAUAUUUAAUUUUACGGAAUGAAGUUAUCUUGUGGAACGAGUUUGGGUUGAUACUCCUACGGGACGAUAAUCUACGAGUGUAAUCUUAGAAUUAACAAUUUUAACACAAUUAUACAAUCUUAAACACUAAACAAAAGAAAUAAUAUUUACAAAACAACUAUAACUUAAAAUUCGAAUUUUUAGUUACAAAUAAAUCGAACGACUGUGUACCGCGGAGUAAAGUUUACAUUAUAUCAUCUAACUAGAUUUUAACCCGCGGUACACCGCGGGGACAAUUAAUUUUUUAAUAUAUAUAAAAGUUUGCAAAUUGUAUCUAUAUAUAAAAUAUUUUUAUUUUAAAGUUUACAAUUGUUAUUAAGUAAUGUCCUGUCAAACUCGUCCCGUAAAAAACCUAUUUAUUUUAUUAAUGUUGAUUUUAUUUAUGAUAUGUUUAUAAAUCAUUGUAUAAAUAUUUUGUAAUUUUGUAGUAAUUAACUGCUAUCAAAUAUUUCUGCAGUUUGAUGCUUAUAAUCGAAUUGUUAUACUCAUAAAAAAGCAAUAUCAAAAAUGAUAAUUUUGUAGUGUUUAAAUGAUAUUAAAUAUUUUGAAAGUUUUAUUUUAGUAACUAAUUGUGUAGUUAAUGUGGAUAGAUUUCGGGAAGAUAGUUAAAUGUCAAAUAUUUAAUUCGAAGAUUUACUUUCUAAUUAUCAAAAAUAAUUAUUAAAUGUCAGUGGCAGCCACUGUAAAUAAGUCCCAACUUGAGGAUUUAUUUCACAAAGUGGCUGCAAAAAUGUAUAUAUAGAUUGAUCAAAUUUCAAACAAAAACAAUUAAUUUGUAUAUACAUCAAACUAACAAAAAUAUACAGAUUUUCCAAAUAUCUCUAUAUUAUUGCGCAAAUCGAAACAAAUCUAACAUUCGAUUUACUAUGCAAAACACAAAUGAAAUAUAAAUAAUAU
rnacentral:sRNA from 1 species